GUUUGAUCCUGGCUCAGGAUGAACGCUAGCGACAGGCUUAACACAUGCAAGUCGAGGGGCAGCGAGGGAGUGGCAACACUUCUGUCGGCGACCGGCGCACGGGUGAGUAACGCGUAUGCAACCUGCCCUUCACAGGGGGAUAACCGGGAGAAAUUCCGACUAAUACCGCAUACGUCCUCCGGGGGCAUCCCCGGGGGAUGAAAGAAUUAUCGGUGAAGGAUGGGCAUGCGUGAUAUUAGGUAGUUGGCGGGGCAAUGGCCCACCAAGCCCACGAUAUCUAGGGGUUCUGAGAGGAAGGUCCCCCACAUUGGUACUGAGACACGGACCAAACUCCUACGGGAGGCAGCAGUGAGGAAUAUUGGUCAAUGGACGAGAGUCUGAACCAGCCAAGUCGCGUGAAGGAAGACGGAUCUAUGGUUUGUAAACUUCUUUAGUGCGGGAACAAAGCGGCGUCGUGACGCCUGAUGAGUGUACCGCAAGAAUAAGCAUCGGCUAACUCCGUGCCAGCAGCCGCGGUAAUACGGAGGAUGCGAGCGUUAUCCGGAUUUAUUGGGUUUAAAGGGAGCGCAGGCUGCGAGGCAAGUCAGCGGUCAAAUGUCGGGGCUCAACCCCGGCCUGCCGUUGAAACUGUCCUGCUAGAGUUCGAGUGAGGUAUGCGGAAUGCGUUGUGUAGCGGUGAAAUGCAUAGAUAUGACGCAGAACUCCGAUUGCGAAGGCAGCAUACCAACUCGCGACUGACGCUGAGGCUCGAAAGCGUGGGUAUCGAACAGGAUUAGAUACCCUGGUAGUCCACGCAGUAAACGAUGAAUACUAACUGUUCGGAGGGCGACCUCUGAGUGGUAAAGCGAAAGCGUUAAGUAUUCCACCUGGGGAGUACGCCGGCAACGG
rnacentral:rRNA from 1 species